AAAACACCUAGAGCCUACCGGAAACCAGCACAAGUCACUCCCUCUCCACGAGUUCAUCUUUGCGUCCCUGACACGUCAGCAGCUCAGUAUGUUCAUCUCAAAGCAUCUUCCUUUUCCACUCCCCGUCGGGCAAGGCUACUGCCCUCAACGCUAAUUCCUGAAGCAAGCAGGGCUGGCUUUGCCCCUGGCGGUGGAGAAGAGGGCAGGUAGGAACCGCUGAGCUAGGGAAGAGUGCUUCAUGUGGACGAGACCCUGCGCCGGCUGCCUUCUCUACACCUCUAUGAUAAAAGUGGUUGAUUUCUAAUAUGUAUUAAAAGUUACCUUGCUUCAGACUAA